rnacentral:rRNA from 1 species
CAGGGAUUGCCCUAGUAACGGCGAGUGAAGCGGCAACAGCUCAAAUUUGAAAUCUGGAUUCCUUUACUGGGUCCCGAGUUGUAAUUUGUAGAGGGUGCUUUGGUGUUGGCGGCGGUCUAAGUUCCUUGGAACAGGACGUCACAGAGGGUGAGAAUCCCGUACGUGGUCGCACUGCCUUCGCCGUGUAAAGCCCCUUCGACGAGUCGAGUUGUUUGGGAAUGCAGCUCUAAAUGGGAGGUAAAUUUCUUCUAAAGCUAAAUACUGGCCAGAGACCGAUAGCGCACAAGUAGAGUGAUCGAAAGAUGAAAAGCACUUUGGAAAGAGAGUCAAAUAGCACGUGAAAUUGUUGAAAGGGAAGCGCUUGCAGCCAGACUUGCCUGCGGUUGCUCAGCCGGGCCCCGCGCCCGGUGCACUCUUCCGCGGGCAGGCCAGCAUCAGUUUGGGCGGCUGGAGAAUGGCCUCUGUCAUGUACUGCCCUUCGGGGUAGCCUUAUAGGGGAGUCGUAAUGCAGUCAGCCUGGACUGAGGUCCGCGCUUCGGCGAGGAUGCUGGCGUAAUGGCCGUAAGCGGCCCGUCUUGAAACACGGACCAAGGAGUCUAACAUCUAUGCGAGUGUUUGGGUGUCAAGCCCGGGCGCGCAAUGAAAGUGAACGGAGGUGGGAACCCUCUUCUGGGGGGCGCACCAUCGACCGAUCCUGAUGUCUUCGGAUGGAUUUGAGUAAGAGCAUAGCUGUUGGGACCCGAAAGAUGGUGAACUAUGCUUGAAUAGGGUGAAGCCAGAGGAAACUCUGGUGGAAGCUCGCAGCGGUUCUGACGUGCAAAUCGAUCGUCAAAUUUGGGCAUAGGGGCGAAAGACUAAUCGAACUAUCUAGUAGCUGGUUCCUGCCGAAGUUUCCCUCAGGAUAGCAGUAACGUAUUCAGUUUUAUGAGGUAAAGCGAAUGAUUAGAGGCCUGGGGGUUGAAACAACCUUCACCUAUUCUCAAACUUUAAA